GAGUUUGAUUAUGGCUCAGGACGAACGCUAGCGGCAGGCCUAAUACAUGCAAGUCGAGGGGUAUAGGAGAGCUUGCUUUCCUAGAGACCGGCGCACGGGUGCGUAACGCGUAUGCAACCUACCUUUAUCAGGGGGAUAGCCCGGAGAAAUCCGGAUUAACACCGCAUAAAAUCACAGUACAGCAUUGUACAAUGAUCAAAUAUUUAUAGGAUAAAGAUGGGCAUGCGUGUCAUUAGCUAGUUGGAGAGGUAACGGCUCACCAAGGCGACGAUGACUAGGGGAUCUGAGAGGAUGACCCCCCACACUGGUACUGAGACACGGACCAGACUCCUACGGGAGGCAGCAGUAAGGAAUAUUGGUCAAUGGAGGCAACUCUGAACCAGCCAUGCCGCGUGCAGGAUGACUGCCCUAUGGGUUGUAAACUGCUUUUGUACGGGAAUAAACCUCCGAUCGUGAUCGGAGCUGAAUGUACCGUAAGAAUAAAGGAUCGGCUAACUCCCGUGCCAGCAGCCGCGGUAAUACGGAGGA
rnacentral:rRNA from 1 species